rnacentral:rRNA from 1 species
GACGAACGCUGGCGGCGUGCUUAACACAUGCAAGUCGAGCGGAAAGGCCCUUUCGGGGGUACUCGAGCGGCGAACGGGUGAGUAACACGUGAGUAAUCUGCCCUGGACUCUGGGAUAGCCACCGGAAACGGUGAUUAAUACCGGAUAUGACACAUUGCUGCAUGGUGGGGUGGGGAAAGUUUUUUCGGUCCAGGAUGUGCCUGCGGCCUAUCAGCUUGUUGGUGAGGUAAUGGCUCACCAAGGCUUUGACGGGUAGCCGUCCUGAGAGGGUGACCGGUCACACUGGGACUGAGACACGGCCCAGACUCCGACGGGAGGCAGCAGUGGGGAAUAUUGGACAAUGGGCGGAAGCCUGAUCCAGCAACGCCGCGUGAGGGAUGACGGCCUUCGGGUUGUAAACCUCUUUCAGUACCGACGAAGCGUGAGUGACGGUAGGUACAGAAGAAGGACCGGCCAACUACGUGCCAGCCGCCGCCGUAAGAC